CGCGUAGGCGGCGCGGGUAGUCGUCGGUGAAAGCUCAGGGCUCAACUCUGAGUCGGCCGGUGAUACUCCCGUGCUCGAGUGUGGUAGAGGCCAAUGGAAUUCCGGGUGUAGCGGUGGAAUGCGUAGAGAUCCGGAAGAACACCGGUGGCGAAGGCGGUUGGCUGGGCCACAACUGACGCUGAUGCGCGACAGCGUGGGGAGCAAACA
rnacentral:rRNA from 1 species